UACGUAGGGGGCAAGCGUUGUCCGGAAUCAUUGGGCGUAAAGAGCGUGUAGGCGGCCAGAAAAGUCCGCUGUGAAAACUCGAGGCUCAACUUCGAGCUGUCGGUGGAAACUUUCUGGCUAGAGUCCGGAAGAGGAGAAUGGAAUUCCUGGUGUAGCGGUGAAAUGCGCAGAUAUCAGGAGGAACACCUAUGGCGAAGGCAGCUCGCUGGGACGUUACUGACGCUGAGACGCGAAAGCGUGGGGAGCAAACAGG
rnacentral:rRNA from 1 species